ensembl:lincRNA
UUUGUAAUCUUGCAGAGGCCAAGGUCUGAUGGCUCCCUUCAAUUCCCUGACCAGAAGCUCAACAGUAAUUCUUUAUUGCUAGGGUCAAAUUCCAUCAGAGCUUCCUGUGACCCCAGUCCCUCCCCCUAGGCCUUCCUGUUUCCUUUAAACCCAUGGUGAUAGAUCUCAGCCAGGCUUGCCGCCCUCGGCCCCCCAGGCCAUGUGGUGCAGAAGAUAGAUGGUGGUCUGUUUCCACAUGGUGCUCAUUAAAGUGCAGUUACAAUGUGACUGUCCGUGCAAGUUGGCUACUCAUUGCUUUAUAAUCUUUGGAUAACACAGAAAUGCGGCAAUUAGGAGUAUUAAGAGACUGUAUCUGUAAAAUGGAAGUUAGAUUUGGGUAAUUUGGCUUGUCAAAGUAGUUUCCGGUGCUAACAGGUAAAUAUGGCAAGGUUGGCUGGAGGCGGAGAUGCUCCGGGAGGGCUGAGAUUCUCAUUCCCGGCUUUCCAGGUUCCUGCACGUCUCCCCUCCUGGAUGGACUGGAAACGAUCCGUGUAACCUGAGAGCAUCCCCACAAGGAGAAGGGGUGACACGCUUACUGCAUGUCCCUGGCCUGGUGUCACUGGCUUGUCUUUGCCAAAAUCUCUAGCCUUCGAGCCAAAUGCUUUGAGAUGGAAUUUCCAUAAAAUUUGUGUAUGAGGAUGCUGAUUUUCAUCAAGCCCCGGCGGACGUGCAUUGUUUUCAUAAAAUACAACCAAUUUUCAGCUGAAAAACCUCAGGGAAACGUCAAGCUUCUGGUGGUCCUUUUCACUUUUCCACUGGAUUCCAGUGGGCGCGCAGACCGCUCCUGUGCUCUUAGAGGGGGUGUGGCUGACAUGCUUCCUGACUUGAUCUUCACGAUGACCUUGGAAAGCAGGGUUGAAAAACAGACUCCGGGAACAUAAGCAAUUUGUUGGUCUUCAGAGCUGAGAAUCCAACUCAGCCAAAGCUCCUUCUCGGAUCUGCUGCUGCCUCCCUAGGAUUUCACAAGGACUUUUAUGUCCAAGGACUUUUACCUCCAUGACUUCGCUUAAAGGCUGUAACUACCGUUGAGUAGGUAUUAUAGGUAUUAUAACCAUUUGCAUUGUUUAAAAGGUCAAAGCAAAUUUUGGUAAGGAUGUGACCUAUGCACAGAAGUAUUACUCGUCAGACUGAAGUCAAACCCAGGGUUCUCGAUGCCCAAGACAGAGAGCUUUGCACCACACUGAAGCAGUCAACAAGAACCUGAACUGACUCAAGAGCGCCUUCAGUGUCAGCCUGGACGCUCGGAUCCAUGUCAGUUGACCAGACAUAAUUUUCCUGCUAGUUGUAGUAGUUAAUCGUGAUGAUUAGCAGGAGGAUGCUUUACGUUUUCCAAAGCUCUUUCUAUGCAACUUAGCUCAUUUGAUCAUCCCAAUAGCCCCUUUGGCCAAAGAGUUCUGAUAUCCCGUCUAAGAAACAGGAAGAGGAAUUAACUUCUAUUCAGCUCUCCCUGGGCACAAUGCUAACAUCUUAAGAUCGGCAAUCUCGUCUUAUACGCAUGAUCUCAUCCUAUCAUCCUUAUGAGAGUCAUUUGUUGAGAAGAUCGACGCUCAGAGGAGUUUAUCGUUGUUUGUGUAUCUAGUAAAUUUUGUAAGACGCAGAUCAAGUAAAGUUGAGCAACAUUCUUUAAUGCGCUCACCAAUGUCUUUUUUUACUAAACAUUCGUCUCGUGUAGUUCCCCAGUGAAGUCUGCUGUUCUCCCGCGCUCAGUUCUCACGGAGGUCCCUGAAACAGAUGUUCUGUCCUUGCUAGUUCACCUGCUUUCCAGCAAUGCAGGAUCUCUUCCUCCUUUCGGGAGGGAGUUCUUGCCUCUGGAGGUUGGAAGGGAAGAAAGGUUUUUAGUUCGAAUUAUUUCCUUACAGCUAAUUUCCCCCUCUCUUCUAUCAGCAUAUCACUCUAGGGUGUUUGACUCUAACAGGCCGUUUGGAUCUCCGGGUGAUUGUUAACACAUAUACAUUUCUGUUAGCUGUACUUUCAAGCAGUGAAACCAAGCAAGAGAGCGUGAGGAAGUUGGGGCAUUGGCAAUGCGCAGUGACCAAACCCACAGAACACAGAUCAUGAAACGCUUACCCUUCACGCUGUCGCGAGGUUGUUUGCCCUGUGGCCUGCUCGUGGACUGGACAUCAGAUGAGGUGGUUUCUGAUUAGAGAGAAUACGUAGGAAGGACCAAAGUCCACUCCCUUCCCCUUCCCCUUCUGUGGCCUCUCUGGGAAGAAGCAGAUAUUAUCAAAAGAGCUCGACCAGGCGUAGUCACACAUUAAAUGCACCAACACUUUGAUUCCACUGGAAAGAGACAAUUCGAUGUAAAUCAGAUAAACACAUCUGUGGGAAAAAUGACAGCGUCUGAGAGUCUCACUGAGUAAUCUGCGAUUUUUUAGCAACAUGUUGUUUUACCUGUUUAGUAAAAUAAUUGAUCAGAUGCAUUUAUAAAGCUCUUCAGUACACAUGACUCCUAAAAUACUGAGUGCGUAGUGAGGAACGAGACUUCUUUAAUCAACACUGAGCACCCUCACUCUGCUUGGGACCUCGGCAGUCUAAUGGCGAUCUGAAACUCUAUGGCAUGACUUCUUGUCUCUUUUAUAUUUCUAGUCCACUUGGACAACGGCCAGGAAAUGAAGAGGCAACUAAAUAUAAGGUUUUAUACAAGUGACAGAAGAGUAGAAGUAGACACGAAAUGCUCUGCGGAGUCUAUACCAAGUGAUGAUCGCUACCACGUAGAGAACUUAGUUCAUUUAAUUGCGAGGGAAGUACCAUAUCCCUGCUUUACCAAGGACAUUAAGGCACAGAAAUGUUAAGCCCCCUGCCAGGGUCACAGUGCUCUUAAGGGAUGGAAUGUGGUUGCGGAGAUGGGAAGUCUGCCCGGGAGCUGGGAUGGUGAAGAGUCAACUUAAAAGGUCUCCCUCAUUGAAGUUUGUCACAACACAAGUUACUACAGCCACAUAGAUAAAAUGGAACUUUCAUUGAGAAGCAUUGCUUUUUAAAAAUUUCCCUCAAUUUCCACAAAACUGUUUUUUCAAACUCUUUUCAUGUAUUUUUCACCACAAGGAUCUUUAUCAUUAUCAGAUAGAUGCUCGGUGUUUAGAGCUGAUUGCCUUUAAUUCCAUCUAAGUUGGCUGAACUAAAGCACUUCUUAAAAAUGUGCGUAUGAAGCUGUCGCUGGAAGAUUUUUCCCUCCACAAAAGUACCCAUUUCCUUUUUUUCUCGUUUGUUCUGUGAUGGUAUUUUUGCGAUCUCUACAAUGUAGCCGCUUCCUGUAUGCAUCUGAAAGUGAUUUUAAGAAUCUUUUCUUUAACAUCUAGCACUUGUCAUUGUGAGAUCAAAGCCCCAGAAGAAUGAUGACAUUUGUGUUAAACUUACUUAAAAAAAAAAAAGAAAAAAAGACUCCCUUUGGUGGUUUCUGUAAACCGCUGACAUUAGCAUUGAUGGAGGUCAUCUCAGGCUGUGGGGUCCUUCCCAAACAGUUCAGUGUUCCACCAUUAAGUAACUGAGAGCCAUUUCACAGUAUGAAGGCUUUGGGGAGGACUUCCUUCUAAGAUGGGCCCCUCAUGUGUGGGCAAGUCUGGUGGUGGGAUGAAGGCAUUAUUGAGACCGGCAGGAGAGGGUGAGGUGAAAAUCUCAUCUACUGUGAAAGGAAAGAGUCACAUACAGACGGACGCGCGAGGAAGGACGUCUUUAGACCUUUGCAACUGGUAGUUAGGAGGAUAUUUCAAGUGUCUCUGAUGACCACAGGUAGCAAAAGCUCUCUGCAUGUCACAAAAGUUCGUGCUCACUAGUAGUAUUUAUUUAUUUUUUUGAUGAUUUAUUUAUUUUAGAGAGCAAGAGGAAAGGGCGGGAAAGGCUGGAUUUCAGGAUCCUGAGAUCACGACCUAAGCCAAAACCAAGUUGACCAACUACUCCCUCCAGGCGACCCGGGCACUCACUGCUUGGGAAGUGUGAAGUUCAUGGCUUGCUCAGUCACGUUUCCCUGAUGCCCCAAGCCUAGGCCCAUCUCUGCUCUUGGCUUGGUAAAGUUCUCUUGCUUCUUCCUUGCCACAUCACCUAUUUCGUAUGCUUUGCAGACUGGCUGCACCUGUGUUUAGAAAAAUGAUACAUGGAUAUAACGUCAAGGCAGGGUUGGCAUAAAAAAAUAAACCAAUUUGUGUGAGAUAUGGUUUUUGGCAGAUACUUUGAAUUUUUGGAGAAUAACAAAGGCAUUUGAUAAACUGGGAGGGAGGCUGUUGAUGGAAUCUCUUCUUCAGGCUCCAGUCCGUCCGGUCCUCCCCCGGUAAACGCCUCUUAAUCUUUGUCCCGGACAAGUUCCGCACAUGCUCCUGAGUGCGCCCCCUCCAGGCAAUUCAGGGAAACUUCAGAGCGUUUCACAGUUUUAAACAAACACUAGAAAGUGAUAGUUUGUAUACAACAACAAAUAAAAAGCAAACUAUGUUAUGCAUAGACAUUUUGGAAAAAAAAAAGAAAAAAUAAAGAAAAACAAUGAUAUCAUGCUUCAUCACACGGACAGCUGCUAUUGUUUAAAAAAAGUCUUUCCAUGUAUUUUUUUCAUGUGCGUGAUGUACAGUUCUUCCAUUUUUGGAAGAUAGAUAUUGAGUCGAAAAAAUGUACCAGGGAUUGUGCUACCCAUUCAGGAUUAAAAAAAAAAACAAACAAGAUUCCUGCCCUUAAUGGAAGUUAUUUUUAGUGUGUUAGAUGAUGGACAAGUGAAAGAGAAUUAAAACAAAACAAUUACAAAUAGUAUAGCUUCUAUGAAGGAGAUGUGUAAACAUGAGCAGUUAAAUGAGGGGCUAUUUUAGAUGGGGGAAGGAGGAACCGUUUUAGACAUCUCUCUGUCCAGUGUUCCUUUCCCACUUGUGGGAAGAGCAUUUUACUUGCUUUGGAGAAACAGUCCCCACCCACGCCUUGUCUGUGUCCAUCUUUCUGGCGCUUGUGGCCCAGGCCGGUAGAUUCCACACCUCUGGCCACAGUAAUUACUUUGAAGAUGGACAUUUAACCCAAAAUAGGAAAAUGAAGUCAAAUGCUUGGCCUCCAAUUGGAUCUGUUGAGGAAGAACAUUUCUUGUCCUCUGGGGGGAAGCUGGAAAGAUGUACCUGUGCGGCAUCCAAGGACCACAGAGAAGUGAGAGGCUAUUUGAGAAAGGAGUUUAGUGUAAAGAAAAGAG